CGUGUAGACGGUUUGGCAAGUCAGAUGUGAAAGCCCUGGGCUCAACCCAGGAAGUGCAUUUGAAACUGCCGUUCUUGAGUAUGGGAGAGGAGAGUGGAAUUCCCAAUGUAGAGGUGAAAUUCGUAGAUAUUGGGAGGAACACCCGUGGCGAAGGCGACUCUCUGGACCAAUACUGACGCUGAGACGCGAAAGCGUGGGGAGCAAACA
rnacentral:rRNA from 1 species